CAAUUCUUUCAUUAUAUUUUAGGGUUCAUAGGGUUAAUUUUAUAUCAUUUGCGGUGUUAAUUGAGCUAAAGAACAAAAUUUCAACAAAACUGGAUUACUUAAAAACAAUAUUUAAUACCUAUAUUAAUGCCAGCGUGCUUUUUAGUUGAUAUAGUGACUAAACAUCCUCAAAAUAAUACAUACAUAUGCUUUAAGUACUUUGCUUCAAAUCAAUUCUAUAAUCUUAUGCUUUACGGCAGCUACAUCUAGCUAACGAAGUGAUUAUUAUAAAUUGAGUGAAAUCUUAUUUAAACAAAAUUAUUUAUUUACACGAAUUUGUUUAAAGCACAUUUUGUUAAAAAUUCUAUGAAGAAAUUCAUGUGUACAAUAAAUAGAGUAUUGAGCAAAUAUGAAAAGUUGAUAUUCGCAGAUUGUGGCAGUAAUGUAUUUUAACUUAAAACUCGCAUUUACGUACAUAUAUAUCGGGUUAAAAUAUUAGUUUUACCUUUGAAUACGAUAAAUUUAAAAUCAAAAAUGUGUGGCAGCGAAUGUAUAAGUAUAAAUGCCGUGUUUAACAGAUUUUGUUCCUUUGACGACAACUGAAACAACUUAUAUAUAAGUAUCCAUGUACAUUGUGAUAGGAUGUGUAUGAAUUAAAAAUAUAUAUAAGUAAUAUUAAAUAUGUAUGCAUGUGGCGGCUCAAUAGUACUGAUACGAUGAUUAUAUCUGAAACAGUUAUGGUAAAGCCCAAAUAACUCACAUAUUUGAUCUCUGGUUAAUAACCGAGUGGUUGAAAGAAAUACGUAAUAUAAUGUGCAAAUUACAAAAAUAAUAAUACCUACAAAUUUUUUUAAAAAGGGAGGCCGCAACAUUUAAUAUUGUUACUCAACUAAACAAGCUUUGAAUUUGGUAGAAUCCUGCAUUUAUUGACGGUGGUUUCAGCUGUACAGCAUUUAACAUGGAUACCAAGAAGGAUAUAACGACAUCGCAAGCAAGUGGCACUACAUUGCGACGUCCGAUUCAAAUUGUGAAAAAACGCUCUGGUCCGUUAGAUGAUGCACUAAAAGAGCUAUAUCAGGAGCUAAGUGAUGCACCCGCUACGAUUGACACGACAGCGUCGACGGCAACACAAGCGGCUUUUACAGUUUGGCAACCAGCUUCAAGAGAUACCAGUUUGAAAUUUCCCUCAUUCACAGUGACCGCAGCAUCACCACAAUCAGCACGUCGUCGUCCAACAAUCAAAGAGAAAGAGAAAAAACGGGAACGUUGGUUACUUACACGUAAAACUUGGAAAUAUAUGACUGAUGCUGGACGUAAGCUUAUACCGGAAGGAGCACAAAACUGUAAAGAAGAUAUAGCUAAAAUUGAAGCAAAUUUUCAACAGAUUUGUUCCAACGAACCCCGUUUUAUAUUGUGGCGUCGGAAGUCUUCUUAUCCAGGAGCCGUGCGAAAUUCGAAACAACGUUUGAAACAUUUAUUGCAACAUACGGGGCAAAAGGGACCAAAUAUGAUAGAAGCAAUAGAACAGGAAGAAGCACACAAUGCUGAUCAAGUAAUCGAUCUUUUGCAGUCUUUUUUAAAGCUUGACGAAAUGUGUAAAACUACGACAUUACUCAGCUCAAAAACUGUGCGGCCAGAUCAGACAGCUUCGCCAAGUGCGCGUCGUCCUGAUAGCGUCCGGAAGUCAGCGACUAACAACGGCAAUAUAACUUCACGUGGUGCUAAUUUUUUUGCACUACAACUUCCUAACGAUUUACAACAACUAAAUGAAAUCGAUCAACUGCUUGAACGAUUACGAAGAAUUUCUCGUAGUGCGAGAGUAAAUGAAUUCACAAUACCACCAAAUGAUAUUACUCCAGCUAUUCUUGAGGAUAAGGUUUUACUUAAACAAAUAUAUAAUUCUCUUAAAAAACAACAGUUACAUCGUGUUUUGAGUGCACAUUCCACACCGUCAUUAAAGGGUACACGACCGAAAAUAAGGCAUUCAUCAUCAUUGUCUAGUUUACAGAAUUUUGGUGAUAACGUUAAUAGAGUUGUUAAGUUUGGAGGUAGUACUAAAGAUCAUGAUUUGAAUUUAGAACCUUCCAAUCAAGAAACUAUCAUUCAAUUGAGAAAAUCCACUACAAAACUAACGGUACCAUCAGCGAAAAUAACUGGAGCAGUAUCAAAAAAUCAACUUUUUUCAAUCCCAAAGAACACUAAUAUCAAACCUAUGCCUCCUACACCAGCGCCUGGCACACGUGAGCCACCAAAUACACUCAAUCUACCAGCUUUAAACAAAAACAGCACAAACAACAUACCUUUAAGACAAGUGAAACAGCCUCAGGCUGUGAAGUAUUUUAAUUCUUGUGGAACUCAAACUAACUUUGUCCCUUUGCAAGAAAUUAAACGUUUAGCAGAGGAAUAUAAGAAUCUGAAACAGGAAGAGGCUUCAUUGAAGGCCUUAUUAAGUUGCACGCCUAGCGCCACUGAUGAUGAGACGGAGAAAGGCGCCAGUUCUACAACAACGACAAGCCCUCACCACCAUCAUCGUCGUAAGAGUUCAAUAGAUAAUGAAGAUAUUUCACAAUCCGUGAGUGAUACGAUUAAACGAUAUUUGCGUAUGGCCCGAAAGAAGAGCGUCAAUGAUGAUAACUCUAAUCGAUUUAAGCGUGUUAAUUACGAUCGUAAUUUACGCAAUAUAAAAGCGAAGGGCGAAAUUAAUCCACCUGGUAUGGAUGAAGACAAUUCGAAAGCUGUGCAAACAUUGGACGCAUGGCCCGUGAUUUGUUUAGACUUUAUACGUGGCAAAGAAACAUAUAGUAUCUUAGAGGCAGCUCAUGCCGAAUGGCAGCGGGAACUAGAUGAACGUAUUCAAAAAAAGCUGGAAUACGACCAAAGGAUCUGUGAUUUAAACAAUGCCACAUUAAUACCGGCUUUAUCGAGUUGUGGUUCCUCAUCUGCACCGACAUCGCCAACAUCUCCUGUAACUUUCAGUGGAACUAGACACAAUUUAGAGACUCGUCAAGCGAACCAUGGAAUUGGAAGCAGCAUAGGAAGCCUUCGUAACGUUGGAUCACAGUUUUUAUCAAAUCUAUGGCACGGGACUACUAGUAGUGUGGCAGCAACUCCUGAUGAUGAAGAUACUGGCAACAGUAGUGCUGCAAGAAAUGUUCCAAAUCAUUCUAGCAGCUUUUUAAAAUUUCAUCGAAGUUCAAAACACGACCACAGUCCAAUAACGAAUGACUCUGCUGCGAAGGGUGCAAGUUUGAGCACAACAAUGCAAAAGUCAAAAUCAUCUUCCAAUGUCGGACAAUUCGUCACACGUAAAAUACUUAAAAGCCGUUCGAAAAGUCAGUCACGACCGAACACUCAAGCAUCAGUUUCGAAAUGGGCGCCAGCGGAAAAGUGCAGUUGGACUUCAGAGAACGGUGAUUUUAUUGUAAUACAAGAUUCAUGCUUGCAAAAUCUGACGGACAUUGAGGCGAAAAUUUUACAACGUGUUGCGAUUGAAAAGAUAAGCGAACUUAAUAUUGGAGUUAAUGUCUUAUUAAAUAGUAAACCACAGAAGCGAAGGGUUCUGGCCAAGAAGAAAGCGAUGACUACCAGUUUCUUUGAUGUUAGUAAAAAGGAGGACCAAAAGCAAAGUGGAGCCGGUUUAUUUGGUAACUCCUUGGAAUGGUGUGUAAUCAAUGAUAAGAAACGGGGAAACAACUUGAAGGCAUCAACUGAUCGUGGUUCGCGCAACUCAUUAGCAGCACUAUUUCGUGGUGGUAGUACGAAUGAGGUAACAAAUAAGUUGGAUGAAAAUGUGCGCUCUUAUGAAAGCUUGCCCUCGAGCACAUUUUCUUUGGUAACUUCGCUUAGUAGUGAUAACAAUUGUCAUAGUGGACGAGCGAGCAGUACCAAAUCGAGCAGCGGUUAUUUUGACAACCUGUCAUCAAUGCAGAAGAAGAUUUCACGCAGCCAAUCUGAUAUAAGGCGUCAUAGUCAAGAGUUAGACCUGCAGGAUCCAUCUUAUUUUAAGGAGCAGAGCAAAAUAGCCAAUCAAAAUGCUUUGCAAGUGCCUACUUUCAUAACAUCUUGCAUAAAAUAUCUUGAAGAGCACGGAUUACACAAGGUUGGACUGUUUCGUGUGAGCACAUCCAAGAAGCGAGUAAAACAGAUGCGUGAGGACUUUGACAAGAAUACUGUCACUGACAUUCGUGAGGAAACUUGUCCUCACGAUGUUGCAACGUUGAUAAAGGAAUUCUUGCGGGAUCUCCCAGAGCCGUUGUUGUGCAGCGGUCUGUAUAAAGCAUUUUUAGAAACUCAAAGAAUUCGUAACCGUCGCUUACAGUUAGAAGCAAUAUCCCAUUUAGUCAAACUGCUUCCAGCGGCUCAUCGUGAUACCCUCUAUGUCUUAACUAAGUUUUUAGCAAGGGUUGCGUCAUGCUCCGACGACGUUAUUGGUCACGAUGGUAAUGUACAAGUCUGUGGUAACAAAAUGGAUAGCAACAAUCUAGCAACUGUUUUUGCACCUAAUAUUCUUCGUAUAAAUUUAUCAAACACCUCUUCGUCAGAUGUAGUAACGUGUGGAAACAGCAUUGAACAGGAGUCUAUGAAUGAUGCUAUAAAUGUAGUAAGAAUUAUGAUUGAUCAUUAUGAAGAAAUCUUCAAGGUGCCGGCCGAACUAAUUGACAUUGUAUACUCCCAUAUGCUGGACGCGUGUCCGGAGAAGCUUUAUAGUAUAUGCGAGCAACGCAUACAGAGUAUAAGUGGUAAUUCUUGGUCUUCGUUAAAUAAUAGUGCGCAAAGCUUAUCACCAAUGACCACAACUUCUACUUCCAAUGUAUCUUCCUCUAUUGUCGGCAGUGUGGUAGGUGUUGAUCCAAGUACGUUGCCAUCCUUGAAUACAAUUACGAAACGUCUGUACACACGUGAGUCUGUCAUGCAUGACAAUGAUGCAUGUCGUUUGACAGAAGCAGCAAUAAAUGGGUCGAAUAAUGGAAAACGAAGCUCGAAUAUGCAUUCAAGUCGUCACUCUAUGACACAAAAGUUACGGCAUAAUGGUCGUAAGGGUAAUAUUACAAAAUCUGACAUGGUGGAGCGACGACAAUCUUCACCAAAUAUAUUAGAUAAUGCAGCUAUUUUAUCAGCAAGCUUACAAAUUCAAGUACCUGGUGCCCAGGCAGGUCUUUUAAAAUUAACAAGCACCACACCGCAAAAAAAAACAAAAUCAAUACCGAACGAAAAAAUAGCGUAUGAUAUGGAUGACAUUAAUACGGGUGUAUCGAAAUCUUUGUCUUCGCAUUCUAUGGACCAUUUCGAUUAUUCAGAUAUUUCGCAUUUUGAAAAAGCAACAAAAAACGAAGAAAUGAAAAACGCACAUCAAUAUUGACUUUUACAUUUCGACAAGAAGCUUAUCUGCUCAAAUGGGUGUAAGCAGACAGUCAUUACAGUCAAUUAUGCACAAAGAUUUGGACUUAUUCCCACAUAAAAUUCAAAUGGCCAACAAACUGAAUGCUGCAGACUUGCCGAUUCGCUUGGAAUUUUGCCAGAAGAUGCUUCAAAUGGUGGAAGAGGAUGGAAACAUGUUGAACUGUCUUUUCAUGUCUGACGAGGCCCAUUUCGAUUUAAACGGCAACAUAAACAAACAAAAUUGUCGAAUAUGGAGUGCUUCCAACCCACAGAUACUCCAUUGCAUCCACUUCGUGUCACAGUGUGGUGUGCAGUUUCAUUACGCUGCAUUGUCGGGCCCUACUUCUUCGAAGAAAACGGGCACACCGUUACGGUUACUGGAGACCGUUACUUGAGCAUGUUGAGAGAGUUUUUCUAUCCAGAAUUACGCCGAAUGAGAAUUUCUUUCAACUCUGUGUAGUUUCAGCAAGAUGAUGCAGCUCCUCACAUAGCCCAACCUGUUAUGACAGAAUUGCGACGAAAAUUUCCCAAUAAGCUGAUAUCCAGAAACUCCACAUUCCGCUGGCCACCCAGGUCGCCUGACCUUACUGCACCUGACUUUUUCUUGAGGGGUUAUUGCAAACAGGAAGUCUACAAAGCAAAACCAACAAAUUUGAAUGAACUAAGGCAAUCCAUUCGAGAAAUAAUUGCGGCUAUUCCUGUCUCAACUCUCCAAGCAGUAAUUAACAACUUUUUGGUAAGAUGCCGCACAUGCAUCAACGAGCAGGGGGGCAUUUAAAUUCCAUUAUUUUUAAAACUAAUUAAGCUAUAUUUAAUAAAAUUGAAUGAGCUUUAACAUGAAUAAAAUAAAAUGAAUUCCAUACACUGAAAAAAAAUUAUUUGAGUUUCUUAAUGUAGCAAAAUUCACCAGCCACCCUGCAUGUAUCUGCCACAUACUUCUGAGAAACAAAAACUUGUUAAUUUUGAUAAUUGAAGGGACAGCUUUUAAUAUACUUACUUUGGAUAAUAAUUGGUUAUUUCCUUUUUUAAGCUUUAAAAAAAUCUAACAUUUGAACUUUUUAGACGAAGAUAGCUAUUGGAAAACUAUGCAUGAAUUAGAUGAAAAUCUUACAGUUAUCUUAUCGAACCAUCCCGGAAAUUAUCAAAAUGUGCCUAAGUGUUUGAAAUGAAGAUCUAAUGCUCUUGAAUAUUUAGACGAAGAACGUUUCCAACAAAUGCUCCGAGUCACAAGUGAUCAUUAUUGAUCAAAGACAGUACACAGUUAAACAACGAUCAAUCUAUUAGGCAAUUUUCGGUAGAUCUACACCUAACUAUAACCGUAUAUCCUUUGGGUUAAUCGAGUACGGCGAUUUGAAAAGUAGCUACACUGUUUGGAGUAGGAGAUGGUGAAACACUUUACAAUAUUACAAAUCGAGUAUUUUCGUAUUUUUUGGAAUUAAAAUCUAGAUAUAUCACUUGGCCAAAUACGAAUGAAAAACAAGAUAUCGUUAACCGUGCGAUUCUGAUACAGUUUUAAGUCUCUAAAUUUAAGAUUUUAAGUUAGAAAAAAUUUUUGUGACUUGAGACGAAUUCGUUAUUCUGUAAGUGACAGUCAUUAAAAAUUUGCGAGUCUCUCAACUGAAAGCGAACAGGUCUGACCAUCUGUCACAUUUCCUUAUUUAGAGAUGUAUGUAAAACCUGAAUCAAAAAAUACUGUCGAUAACAAAUAUUAAAUUAUCUUUAACGCUGUAAAAAAGCUUAUUUACCAAUAAAACUAAAAAUAAAAUGUUGUAUUUCAAAUACGAUAGAGCUAAAAUUUAUGUGAAAUUGAUUUUUUUUUUUUACUUUUACUUGAUUGAGUUUUGUAUAAAACAUAAACACCAACAAUCGAUUACUAUCUGUGAUGAUCUCUUUAAGUGAAUCGUCAAUACAUUCAAAAUGGAAAACAAAGGUAACUAAGCGUUUAAUUAAAUAUUUGCUGUUAUAUUCCUUUACUUGUAUAUAAUUAAUUGUUACAUUUGCAGAAUCAUUGCGGACAACAAAAGAGCAAAUUGAAUGCUCUUUAGCAUUUCUAAGAUCACAAAAAUUAUCCCACGCGACCAAAAAGGUUGGAAGAGCUGUGGAUCGAGCUUUGUCAGCAGCUAAAUGCUUUGAAAGGUCCAUCAUUUCGCCUACGAAAUGGAAGGAGGCAAAUCCUUACAUAUACAAAUAUAUAUAUUUACUAGAGGACCCGCCUACGUUUUACUGUGGCUGAUACAUAGGCUACAUGGCUGAUACAUAAGUAUUAGUUAAAGAAUAAUCGCAUUUUUGAUGAAGCAAAAAAAAUGAAUCAAAAAGCAUUUCGUGUGUUAAGAAAGAAUUGGUUUUUGCGGUAAAAAUACUAUUGAAUUUGGGCUGUGCAUCAGUGAAAUCCAUCGAGUCCAAUCGAUUGUCAGCCUGGUGGACUGCAUAUUAAGAAACGGUUCUCAAGCGUGGAAAGACAAAAAAAUCGACUGGCAAGGUUAUGGCAUCAGUCUUUUGGGAUGCCCGUGGUAUAUUAUUCAUCGAAUGAUAAAUGAGCCAGUUUUAAUUCAUUGCAUUGUGUACUUGAUUUCAGUUCUAUUCUACCAUUCCCAAUAUUUAGCAAUUUUAUUAUUUUUCAGAAAGGAUCAGUUUGAAAUUGUACGCAUGUAUGCAUGUAUACGUCGUUCCCGUUUAAAUAUUGUAUUGCUCUGUGCAAUGCUUCGAAAAUAUUUCUGUAUAUCUCAAAUUUUUUAUCAACACUUCAGUUAUGCCACUAUUUUUUUAUGCCAGACCUUUUGCAAUUUUAAAUUGCCUGUCAAGAUACCCCCUCCAAUAGUUAGCAGGUAUGAAAAAAAUGUUAUAGCUACCCAUAGAUGUAUUGAAUCACCCAAUUUAUUACUUAAGAACGAACUCUGUCCUCAAUAUAAAAACUUGAUCCACAGAUGUCGCCUUUUACUUUGGCAUCGUUUUGUUUAAUGUACGUUUACGCCAAUUUAAGGUUUGAAUAUUGGAUACUGCGAUGGUAGCGCCAUCUAUCGGUCAAACAUUCCAAAAUUAACAAUUGAUUAAAAAUGAAAAAAUAAUUUAAAAAAACAUUUUCCAGUGGAUCAAAUUGUAAAUCUAUACCAUUCUCGAACCUCCUUGAACAUACACACAAAAUUUCAUCAAAAUCGGUACAUUCGUUUAGGAGCAGUUCAAAUGCAAACACACGGUCAGAAGAUUUAUAUAUAUGAAGAUAUUCAUUAGGAUGCUCCUAAAAAAAAUUUGAUUUUUUUUCAACUUUUACCCCCUUUUUUUAGUGUCCUAUUCAUUUAACAUAUCGCGACAAAAUUAUUAUUCUCAGAAACGUUUUUUUAUUUUUAUUGAAAAAAUUCCAAAUUUCCAAUCACUAUGUUUAAUUGUCGUUGCCGUUGGAAGGACCAAGUGGAGAAGGACCUGGCUUCGCUUGGAAUAUCCAAUUGGCGCCACGUAGCGAAAAGAAGAAACGACUGGCGCGCGGUUGUUAACUCGGCUAUAAUCGCGUAAGCGGUGUCUACGCCAAUUAAGAAGAAGAUGUUUAAUUGUCUAAUUGAGAUAAUCAAACUUUGUCGCGGGAUUUUUUAAAUUUUUAAUAUGUAAUGGUUAUUUUUGAGAAAUAAAAAUUAAUUGGUGAAAUUUUAGUUUGAUUGAAAAACGAAAAUUCCUAUGUUAAGUAAAAAGGAAACUAAAAAAAAAUGAAGCGACCCUUUAGAGUUAAGCUACAGCGCCUGGCUUGAGGGAGGAUUCUUUUCGUCAAUCACUAAAAUUUGAGGGGGUAAGAGUCGAAAAAAAUUCAAAUUUUUUUUUUGAAACACCCUAAUAUACAUAUAUUUCAAUUGAAAUAAAUAUCUUGUUUAUUUCACAGUGUUUUAACCAUUGGAAACCCCAGAUUCCGAGUUGGAAGAGCUGGCAAUGGAAGCGUUAGGGAGGACCGUGGUUGAUGGACUGCCUGAUGUCCCAACUAUAGGAGUAGAGGUAUGAUUAAAUAAAAUCUUUGCGUAUAUGUUUAUAUACAAUUUUUUUUAAGUAAAUAAAAUGGAAUUAUAGUUUCUUUUUACGUUUCGAACGACAUUAUAAUCCAUAUACAGUAGAGGCCCGCUAACCCGGAUCAAUUAAAACCGGCCCCUAUCCGGAAUAUAAAGGAAUCCGGGCCAGCGCGAUAUUUUUUUCCCUAGUAUAGGUUGACAGCUGCAACCAACUGUCAUCGGCUCGUCUCAUACUAAGCUCAGUUUCUAUAUAGCACUCGAGCUGUGAACAUGUGUUAUAACCUCUCUGCGACAACAAAAAGAAAUUCGACACUCCGAAAGUUUUUUUUCAACUCUGUGUACAGUUGAUUUUUUUCACAUUUUCCAAUAAAUUCAUCCAGGUAAAUAUGUUUAUAAUAUUAGUUGAGCCUUUAGCCUUCGACACACAGAAUUUACAUUGUGUUCAUUAUCCACCGCCAUUUUGCAAAUAUGAGCGUUUGGGGAAUCUUGGGAAUCUCUUAUUACGGGGAAUGUCGGGCCACAUAGUUUUUUACAUUUGACAUGCUAACUUCAUAUAUUUGACGUGUAUAAGUGAUUUUUCGUGCAGAAUUUCAACAACACAAUAGUUUUUCAACAUUUCCUCAUAGUUUCGUGCUCCGAAAAAUUUUUUUUAGUCAUUAUGCCGCGGUACUACCCCAAACAAGAGAAAAUUGUUGAUUUCGACAACAUUUUGGAGGCGAUCAAGUCGGUGAAAAUACAUCACAACAGCGUUCGACAAUCUGCGACGGCACACAAAAUUCCGAUGCGUUAUAUUGCAGCAUUUGAUGGUUCGACGUUACUACUGCCAAUGCCGAUGUAAUGAAGAAUUUGCUGGCUGAAAGCACGACGAUGGGCACAAAAACAAUCUUCAACAUCGAACAAGAGAAGGCGCUCAUAAGCUACAUUCUCCAGGCCAGCGACAUCAAAUAUGGAAUUAGUUCGGAAAGUUUUCGCGUCGUAUCCGGAUCCAUGGAACGACAAUCAACAGGCGAGUAAGGAUUGGCAGUUGGCGUUCAUGAAACGCCACAAAAAUUUGUCACUGCGAACACCAGAGCAAGUAAGCCAGAGCCGUGCGAAGCGAUUCAACAAAGAGAAUGUCGAUGCAUUCUUUGCCAACCUUUCAUCCGUUCUUGGUAAGACGCCGUUUGAAUCUCACCGAAUAUGGAACUUGGAUGAAACCGGGUGCCCGACCGUGCCAACCAGACCUGUCAAAACCAUCGCGCGCAAAGGACAAAAGCAGGUCGGCUCAUCAACAUCUGCCGAAAAAGACACCAAUGUGUCUUUGGCUUUGGCCGUCAGCGCUAGUGGCCAGUCUAUACCGCCAUUCUUCCUCUUUCCCCGAAUCAACAUGAAAGAGAUUUUUAUGACUCAUGCGAGUCAUGGCGCUGUUGGUGUUGCGAACGGUUCUGGUUACAUGAACUCUGACGUAUUCUCUCAAUUCAUGCAUCAUUUCAUUAAGCACACCGGUGCUAAUGCCGAUUCGCCAACCAUGUUGCUGCUGGACAACCACGGUUCGCAUUUAUCGAUCGAGGCGAUAGAUUUGGCGUUGGAUCAUGGCAUCACGUUGCUGUCUUUUCCGCCGAAAUGCACGCACAAAAUGCAGCCGCUAGAUGUUGCGGUAUUUGCACCAUUUAAAGGCAUGAUGACCGUGAAGCAUGAUGCAUGGAAAAAGUCCAACAUUGGUGUCACUUUCGAUCUGCAUCAUGUGACGCUCCUUGUCGAUCAGUGCCUCGAUGUUAUGUUAACGCCGAAAACCAUCAAAUCCGGCUUCCGAACAACUGGCAUCUACCCGUUCAACCCGCAAAUUUUCACUGAAGUUGACUUUGUCGCUUCGGAACUGAGCGGCGAAAAUUUGUUCGGUGACGAAGAGAAAGACGCCGACAAUCAACGUCGAGUUCUUGCCUCUGGUGAUGCCAUUGUGACUGCUGCGAAUCAGGAGGUGUCAACGUCGGAGGCAUCGACAAGUGCCCCAGCUUCAACAAGUGGUGCUGCAUCAUCGUCGUUGUCUCUUGUUUCGGCUCCACAGCUCCGUGAUGCACUGAAAUCGGUUGGCCCGUUGAAAUUGGGCACACCUGCGCCGAAAUCAAAACGUGGCCGCAAGACAAUGGAGUCAACGAUUUUGACAUCGCCUGAGGUUGUCGCAGAUCUGCGAGACGAGGCCGAAAAAAAGCGGCAAAAAUUGACGAAGGCAGCCGAUGAACCAGCAGCCAAGAAGGCCGUGGCAAAUCGAAGACGCCACGGAAGAGAAGCCCGUCUCCGACCGAAACCGACAUCGAAGAGGACUUCGAUUUUUGCACGAUUUGCAAGAAAAAGAUGCCGAAGCACGAGAAUCGUCAAAACACGGUCCAUUGCAUAGUUUGUGAUCGAGGGGUUCACUUGAAAUGUGCCGGACCGAACCCGAACACUUACACCUGCAUCCACUGCGAGUCGGAAUAAUUUUUUUCGCCAAUUCCUAUUUUUCUUAUUAUUUAUGAAUCUCUCUUUCAUUUUCAUUGAUAAAUAAACGUUUUUCAUCGGUAGCAAUCAUGUUUUAAUCGAUUUACAGACUGGCCCGACAUUCCCCACCUUUUUUCAAAUCGCAAAAUCAGGUUUUUUGCGCCAAUGGCUAUAACUUUUAAAUUUUUGUAGAAUUUUAUCAAACCAAUGUUAUCAAAAGGAAGGUUACGACUCGCACUACAAAUCCAUGCUUUGGAAUUUUCACAAAAAAUAACCGAAAUCAAAACGUGGCCCAACAUUCCCCACCUUCCC